UAUUCAAUUACGAACAAUGAAACAUUUUUCUUUUAAGUGAAUUUCUAUUAUAAUAGAAGUUUGUCAAGUACAUCUCAGUGAAGCAGAAAAUCUUCAGGCGAACAUUGAAAUCGAAGUGAUACCCUAUGAUAUCAAGAAAAAUCCUAUGGAACAAAGAAGCAGAUAAUGAUCACAGAAGUGCAACAAAGAGCACCAGGACCUGAUCAUCAAAUGUUAUGGUGUAGAUCUAAUCAGGAACAAGACACCCAAGUUGAACUCUGGCAAGGUUGUCCCAUGUAGAGGGUUUGAUAUCCAGGCUUCUUUUGUACAAGUCCCUAGUCCACCCUCAUCUUGAGAACUGUUCCGGUGUCUGGGAUCCCUACAACAUCUCAGAUGUCCAGGACGCUACUUCACAAUGGGGACCACAAGAGAAGCAGCAGUUUGACUGAGAUGAUCAGCACCUUUUAGUUGCCUACUAUAUCUACAACUACAAGGCACUCUGCAAGAAGACUGAGAAUGGUGCACAAGAUAGUCUGAGGCAUCUACUCUCCUUAUCCCACUUAGAAACAAUCUGUCUUCCUCACACCACUUGUAAUCUUUAGUAUUAGUUCAUCUUCGUGAUAGGCUACAACGCCUUUUGAAGAUUACCAGAAGAAGAAGAAGAAGAUAUAUCGAGGAUCAUGAAAGUAAUCAUUUGUUCUUUUAAAUGCGUGUACAUGUAACAUAGUUUUUUGAUAUUUAAUCUUAAGUCAAGUUCUGACAAAAAUAUGAGGGAUGCUGAACUGGAUAGUAAAUUGAAGGGGGGGGGGGGG